AUUAAAGGGCCGCAGUAUUCUAACCGUGCAAAGGUACCGUAAUCAUUAGGUUCUUGACUGUAUGAAUGGUUGAACAAAAGAAAUUGUCUAUAUUAAAUUUUGAAUUUAACUAAGUGAAAAGGCUUAAAUAUAGUUAAGGGACGAAAAGACUAAAAACUUAACAUUGUGAUUUUAUUUAGUUGAAUUUGUAAAAUAAUUAAUUUAUUUUUUGUGUUGGGGAGACAAAGGUAAAAUAUAUUUUAACUGCUUUAUUCUUUUUGAGAGUUCUUAUCGAAAAAAGAGUUUGCGACCUCGAUGUUGAAUUAAAAUAUCUCUAUGGUGCAGAAAUCAUAAGAGAAGGUCUGUUCGACCUUUAAAUUUUUACAUGAUUUGAGUUCA
rnacentral:rRNA from 1 species